AAAGGAAUAGACGGGGACCCGCACAAGCGGUGGAGCAUGUGGUUUAAUUCGAGGCAACGCGAAGAACCUUACCAAGACUUGACAUGGAGACGAAAGCGUCAGAAAUGACGUGUCCCCUACGGGGGCGGCUCACACAGGUGGUGCAUGGUUGUCGUCAGCUCGUGUCGUGAGAUGUUGGGUUAAGUCCCGCAACGAGCGCAACCCUUGCGUCCAGUUGCCAGCAGGUAAAGCUGGGCACACUGGAGGGACUGCCGUGGAUAACACGGAGGAAGGUGGGGAUGAUGUCAAAUCAUCAUGCCCCUUAUGUCUUGGGCAACACACGUGCUACAAUGGCUUAAAACAAAGUGAAGCAAAGCAGCGAUGCGGAGCGGAUCACCAAAAGAAGCCCCAGUUCGGAUUGUAGGCUGCAACCCGCCUGCAUGAAGGUGGAAUCGCUAGUAAUCGCGAAUCAGAAUGUCGCGGUGAAUACGUUCCCGGGUCUUGUACACACCGCCCGU
rnacentral:rRNA from 1 species